AAGACAAUUUAAUGAGAAUUCUUUAAUGUGAGAUCAUUUAACAUGUAUCGAGAAUGCCUUUCAGAAAAUGUUUUUUUUUCCUUUUCCAAUUUAGAAGAGUCCCAAACAUACAAGGCCCAUAAGCCCACUUGGUCCAAAACUAGUAGAAAUAAGUUCAUUUUAGGUCUCUCAAAUUGUCACGAAGUAUCAAAAUCAUCCCUCGACCGCAAUACUAGAAAUGUUGACCCUUGAAAUUACAAAAACCGUUCAAAUUAGAUCCCUCAGCAGUAUUAGAGUGUAGUUUUGCUGAUGUGGCAUCCUAGUCAGAAAAAAAAAUAUUUAAAAAAAUCAUGGGACCUACAUGUCAGUUGCCAAGUCAGAAAAAAGUAUUCAAUAAAAUAUGGGGUCACUUGUCAGCCUAAUAAGCCUAAUAAGAAAAUAAAAAAAUCCCCUUUCUCCCCUCCCCAUCCAGGCCGGUGGCUGGAGCGCAGGUGGCGACAGCAGGCGCAGGCGGCAAGCGCCGGCAUGGACGGCUCGGUGCGGGACGGCGGCGGCAAGCGCGGCGCCGAUGGCGUGCACCGCAACCUCGUCGAGCCUCUCGCCGAAGCACAUGAGUACGAGGAGGCAGAACAUGGCGUACCGGAACGUCUCCACCACGCCGGGCGCCGCGGGGUCCGAGCCCAAACCCGCGACCGCGAGCUUCUCGACGAGCACGCGGCGAACCCAGGAGCGCGCAGGCGCGAAGAGACGGACACGCGACGCGUCUCGGCGAUGAGGUUGCGGCGGAGGAGGCGCCACACGGGCCCGUAGCUGGACCGCGUGAUGGUGUUGGCGUUCUCGCCGAGCAGCGAGCGUGCGACCUCCNNNNNNNNNNNNNNNNNNNNNNNNNNNNNNNNNNNNNNNNNNNNNNNNNNNNNNNNNNNNNNNNNNNNNNNNUUCCCGCGCCGCCGCCGCCAGCCCAGCCGCCACCGCCCCCCGUCGACGUGCUCUGGAGGAGGAAGUUAGGAUUUAGGAAGAAGAGAGGAUAGGAAGCGAGAAAGAGAGAGGAGAGUAAGGAGAGGAGGAGGGAGUAAAAAUAAAAAAUUCUGAUACGUGGGACCCACUCGUCGUCACGUCAACAAAACCGGUUAAAAGUGGAUCAAUACUGCCGAGAAACUUUUUUUAACAGAUUCUCUAAGUUUAUGGGUACAUAUUUAUGGCAUUACGGUAAAGGGACGAAAUACAAACUCGCAUUUAAGUUUAGGGACCUUUGAUAGACUUAUUCUAAACUAGUACUCCGUAGUACAGUGUUUCUUGAGGCAUAACGGCCCAUUUAAAAAUACCGUAGCAUUCUUCUCGGUCCAUUUUGAUCUGGCACUGCACCAGCCUCGUCAGUGCGGGAGUGCUGUGCGUCGCCUCUCUCGCCGCCGCCGCCGCACCCCCAUCUCCGCCGCAUCCGAGCCCCGAAGUUGCUGGAAGAGAGGAGGGAUCUAGCAGAGGAAGGAUGGGGUGGAAGGCUACGGAGAAGCUCAUCAGGCACUGGAAGAUCCUCUGCGGUGACAAUGUGAAUCUCUUUCCCCCAGCUUUCCUCCUCGUCCCCUAUAUGUUCUCGCAAAAUCUCCAAUUUCUCUCUGUUUGCUUCCAGGUGAUGAUCAUAAGAGGCAAGGAUAAGGGCGAGAGCGGGCUCAUCAAGCGGGUCAUCCGGUCGCAAAACCGUGUCAUUGUCGAGGGAAAGAAUCUGGUAAUGUAUUGCUAUAGACUAUACUGAUGCACCCUCGUCGAGUUAUUAUCAAACCCUACGUCGGUUUUGGGUUUGAUUGGUCGAAUGAUUUCAUAGUUUUGUGCUAUCGAUUUAACUAUCCUAGAAAAAAAUCACUUAUUAUUUAGCCUGAUACGAAUUGAUACAUAUUUCCCCCUUUUCCAGAGUUCAUAUUAGUAUUAGGAGCUGUAAACUGCUGUAACAAAUAUAAGCUCAACUAAUUUUCAUUAGAGUGAUGUUCAUGUCAACUAGAAAUUGUAAAUACUCAUAACAUAAUAUUAUUCCUCCGAGCAUACACCCAUUGUUGUAUAAGGAUAGCAUAGAUAUGAAGAUAGUUUGUAUCCAGAGAAACUGGGUGCCUUUUGUAUUUCGUCGUAUCUAUGAGUGCUGGGUGGUGUUUUACUCAACAAUUUAGCUUUGCAUUAUCAAAAAAAGGUAGUAGUAGUAAAAUAAUUUCGCAUGUACCAGUAGGCAUAGUAUAAUCAGAAUUUGUAGAUGUCUACUGGAUCCUUUUGUUUUAUGUACUGCAUCCUGGUACAUGUUGUAUCUCUUUUGUAUAUCAUGUGUGUGUAUGAUUUGUAUGCCAUAGCAAAUUAGUACCGAAUUAGUUGCUUCCAGUUUGAUAUUGAGGAAUUGAUUUUAGUGGAUGGCAACGAAGAAUGGUGAAACUGUAAAAACCUCAGGUCUUUUAUGUUAUUGUUACAUGUUACAUUUUUCUUGCUGGCUACUAGGCAGCUAUAAUUAGUAACAAGUAACAACCCAUAAUAUUUUUCUAGUCUUAUGUAUGUGAGUGUUCUCUGUUGUACAUAGGAAUUUUAUAGUAAUUGUGUGUUUAUGCCAUUUCAGGUUAAGAAGCAUAUUAAGCAAGGGGAAGGAUAUACAGGUGGGAUUCUCUCAAUUGAAGCCCCACUUCAUGUUUCAAAUGUUCAAGUACUUGAUCCUGGGUACGAUGCUUAAUUGUUCUUUCAUGAUAUCUAGACAUAUUUUUUUAUCUUCCAUUUCUACUGCAUCUUACUUGAAAAGGAGUAAAUUAUCCGCACAAUGUUAGCUACAGGAAACCAGGUAAGAUUGGAUACAAGUAUUUGGAAGAUGGAACUAAAGUCAGGUUUGCUAGAGGAAUGAAUGCAUCUGGUGUUAUGAUACCUAGGCCAGAAAUUUUGAAGGAACGAAGAAAGCCAACACCUACAUCACGUAUGUCUCCUAAGUACUAAUAGUGUGUUUGAUAAGAUAGAGCCAACUCAUUCUAAGCUUUGUUUAAUUCGUGAGUGGUUGGGAUAUGUUGCUCCUAAAAGAGAAUAUUUCUCUCAGAUCUGGAUCCAACCUAUCCCACCAAAUUGUCCGGACGGAUCGAACCUAGUUUCAUCGCGUGCACGCACAGGGGGUGACUGGGUGAGGGUAUCGCCGUAUCGGCACCUCCUCUUUCUCCUCUCGUCGUGAACUUGCGGCCGUCCAGGGGCUGGCGUCCGGCGGCGUCCAAGGAGCUAGCGGCCGGCCGCUGGGUUUGGCGCUGGUGGCGGCGGGGUGGGCACAGGGUGGCAGCGGGGUGGGCGCACCCGGCUGUCAGGAUGUGGUUGCUGCUGCGGAGGCUGCCUAUUUUUUGCUUGCCGGCAGCAAUGUUUUUUUUGCUGUGGUUGCUGCUGGGGAGGGCAAUGUUUUUGCUUGCUGUGGAUGCUUGCUCUGGGCAUGGCCAGCGGGGGAGGGCGCUGGUGGUGGCGGGGUUGCUGUGGUUGCCGACGGCGGGGACUGCACAGGAGGCCGACAUGAGGAGGCCGCGGAGGGCGCAUGUGGCUUGCUUGCUGUCAAUUUGCGCUUGCUGUGGCUGCACAUGAGGACGGCGACCAGGAUGUGCUUGCCAUAGAUUUUGAUGCAUAUUCGGAACAUGAUGCCUCUCUAAUUUUUUUUCACAAGUUGUUUUUUUGCAGAUAAGGAGGCUUUUAUUUUAUUAAAAUUAUUUAGAAUAUUUUAAAUGAAUAACUAUAUAUUUAAUUACUUUAGUUUAUUCAUAUAUUAAUUCUAGCAUUAAAUAUUUUUAUUUUGGAUAUAAGAGGUAACCUCACCAACUUAUAAUGGGAAGGUAAUCAUAUCCAAGCAUCUCAAGUUCAUCCCUUGAACUAAACAUGCAAUGGGUUCAAUCCAUUCCAUCUCAUGCCUUCAACCAAACAAAAAACAAGGUUCAACCUAUCCCUCUAACAAAUCAAAAAAAUGGAACCAACCUAUCCUGUAAAACAGGGAUGGAACUAACCCAUCCCACCUAGUCCACCAAUCAAACAAAUCCUAAAUAUCUGUCCCUUUCAAUAAAUACUAACAAAAGUGCUUAUAGUAACCUCGGGUACCAUGAAAUCAUGCAUAGUCACUACUAUAGAUGUUUCCUCUUAUGAUAUUUUACUUGGGAUUGAUUGUUGUGUGAUUGAAUGUAAUAGUAGUUAGUAAUAGUACAACCUGAAAGAAUUCUGAUCUGUUCACGGCAACGUUACAACUUGGUGUCAAAAUAUUAAAUAUAUUUGUUACAUAACUAUCUAUUUUUGCUAUGGGAAAAUUCCAGUUCUACUGAUAUUUGAGCAAAUGCAUUCUAUUCCUAGCAAUAUAUUACCCUGCAUAUGCUGUAUAUUUGAUUUCUGAGGAAACUAAAUUUCGCAAUUUUGUUUCAUUCAUGCAGCUGGCCCGAAGGAUACACCAAUUGACCUUGUGCUGGAGAAAACCUAUGAUGCCAAGGCUGAAAUUGGAAUGCCUGAUCUAUAAAGUUAGCAACGGGUUUUCUUCGGAGGAAGAGUUCAGUGUAUGUGUUUAUUUGACCACUUUUGCUAGUUAAGGUAGCAGUAAGUCUCUAUUACCAACUCUGCAUCUGUACCAGUCAACUUUCGAAAUAAUCCUGUAACGGUAAUUAUAGCCUCUUGUUUUGGUGAGAACUUUUAUCCUACUGUUUUUAUCCUACUGGAAAUGACUUCACAUUUGGGAAAGGUUCAAACCAUUAUUUCUUCAUAGAUUAUAUUCUGAGACCAACUUAUUCAAUUACUGUCGUUCAAUGUGCUCCGCGUACGUGUAUCUUCUGUUCCGCGGGAGAGACGAAGGCACGUAUUCGUUGCGCGGGAAACUUAAACUGUUUAAGGAGGUGUUUGGUCGGGGAAAUGAAAUAUUUUGAUAUCACAUUAAACGUUUGAUUGAAUGUCGGAAGUGUUUUUCGAACAUGAAUGAAAAAACGAAUUUCACGGCUCGCCUAGAAACCACGAGACGAAUCUUUUAAGCCUAAUUAAUCCGUUAUCAGCGCAUAUGGGUUACUAUAGCACUUAUGACUAAUUAUGGAUUAAUUAGGCUUAAAAGAUUUGUCUUACGAUUUCUAACAUGACUGUGCAAUUAGUUUUUCGUUUUAUUUAUGUUUAAUUUAAUGUUCUAUUUAGGUGUCUAAAGAUUCGAUGUAUUUUGGGAGAAAAUUUUUUGGAACUAAACGGGGCCUCAACGCAGCGACAUUGCGAUGGUGGUACUGGACUUCGACACAAACUCAGACGUACAAGCAGAUCGACACCGAUAAAGACUUGGAACCGAGUAAAAAAAACACAGCAGCAAAUCAGUGGCUAUCGACGAAGCUCUUGACGGCGUCGACGAGCUCCCGUGCCCGCGCCGCCGCGACGGGGUCGGACUCCACCGCGAACCAGUUGAGGUAGAAUAUGUGGCCGAUCCCGCGGCCGCGGCUGACCACCGUCUCCACCGCCUUCCCCGCGCGCGCCAUGGCCUCUCCGUACUCCACCUGCGGAUCACGCAGCAUGUCCUCCUCCGCGACCAUCAGCAGCAUCGGUGGCAGCCGCGCGCCCUCCGCCGCCCUUGCUGCCGCCGCCGGAGACGUGUACGGGUGGUCCCUGCCGGUGGUUCCUACCGGCAGCGCGAGCAUCACGAACUUGUCCACCGUCUCCUGCGUCAUGAGCGGGGUAGGCCGUAGGUGGGUUCUCCAGCUCCGACCGGCUCUUCUCCGGCCCGAUGAACCCGGGGUGGAGGAGGACCCCGCCGGGGGGGCGUNNNNNNNNNNGCGCCCCCCCCCAGCCCCGCGGGCGCGUGCCGCCACGUUGUGCACGAGGACGCCGCCCGCGCUGUCGCCGAUGAGGAACACGCGGGAGAAGUCGGCGGCGCUGCGGAGACGUUCCACCGCAGGGUCGAGCGCAACAUUGGAGCUACCGCCGGACGCGACGUCACGCAGCCAGAGCAGGGCGGCGUGGCCGGCGUCGAUGGCGGCGGGGAGGCGGUGCUCCGGCGUGAGCGGGAGGACGACGGAGACGAUGCCCGCGACGUCGAGCUCCACGGUGAGGCGGGCGUAGAAGUGAUGGUAAAGCGACCACGCUGCGUGGGAGACGCAGAAGGCGCCGCCGUGGAAAUGAAGUAGAACCGGGCGGCGACGGCGCCGGGCCAUCGUCGUAGGCUCCUCCUCCUCCGGCGCCGUGAGGUAGAGGCGGACGUCGACGCCACGGUCCGUGGCGACGUCGUGGACGGUGACCCCGUCACGUGGCUCCUCAUACGGCCGGACGAUUUCCAUGAAAGGGGCAGCCUCCGGCGGGCACAGCCGGUCGACGGAGCCGUCGGAGUAGACGCGGAUCCAGUUCGUGACGGACUCGACCAGCACCCUGGCCGGGUUAGCUGCCUCUUGCUGCUCCUUGGUGGCGGCCAUCUGUGGCAAUGUCGCCAUGGCAGCUAAGCUAUUGCAGGUAGGUAAACCAGUGAAGCUGUGAAAUUAACAAAGCUAGCUGAUCAACGUGCAUCUUAUAGACGCAGCAGUGCAGCACCAGUUGCUAGCUGAAAUAACUUGCAAAUUUCGCGCGCAAACGUACCUCGUGUGGACGCGCUAGCUUGACGUCGUCGGUGAUCUGUUUGAGCCUUAAUUUUUCUUGAGUCUUGAUGAGUCCUUUCGUCUCGGUCUAGCUUUAAUAAAGCUUUAACGUAUACUUUCUUAAUUUUUUAGUGACGUCAUUGACUUUUGAUCUACAUUUGACCGUUCGUCUUAUUAAAAAUUUUUAUUUAAAUAUACAAAAUUAUAAGUCAUAUUGAAAUUCCUAUAAUAAUAAAUUAAAUUAUAACAAAUAAUUAUAUUUAUAUUUUUUUAAUAAGAUAAAUUAUUAAACAUAAAUAUACAAAUCAACAGAGUUGUAUAAAAAACUCGAAGGGAAUAUAAAUUUAGAUAGGAAAUGGUGGCCUUUGCUGGAUCGAUUGGGCAACUAAUGGAGAUUGGACAAACACUAGCUGCACCCACCAAACUCUUCCAAUAAGAAGAUGGUGUCUGUCGGUCUGCCCUCUCAAAACUAUCUAGAAUAUAGGACCAUUAGUUUGCUCCACUAAGUUGUGGAUUGAUAUAUAUGGAAUACACAGCAAUGUGGUUGGAAUGUCUCCGUCCAAAACCAACUUAAGGCUGCUCAACUUUAGUUAACUCCACCAAACUCUUAUUAACUCCAAUAAGAAGAUGAUGUCAGUCGGCCUGUCUCUCAAAACUAUCUGGAAUAUAGGACACUAUUUUGCUCCGGUAAGUUAUGGAUCGGUGUAUAUGGUAAUGGAAUACACAGCAAUGUGGGGUUGGAAUGUCUCUGUCCAAAGCCAACUUCAGGCUGCUCGAUCAACUUUAGUUAAUUUGUUUAUUUUAUUCGUUUGAGUUCCGUAUAUUUUGCUAAAGUUAGUCAACUGCGAUUACCCUAAUCUCAUGGAGUUGACUAACGAUAGCCGUUAGAUAGAUCAAACUGCACUUCAAAUAUCGCUAGCACGAGAUCUUUUCUGCCGAGAACGACGACGACGACCGAACACCAGUGACCAAGCGAAAGCACAUCGCUGGUGCCGCUUUUUUUCCCCCCUCUCCCAGUGAAGCUGCAUUUUUUUCACUGAAGUAGCUUUCACUCGAGGGAUGUUGGGGAUGGCACAGUGUGAGCUGGAGAAGAUAUGGUUUUUCAUAUCGCUUGAUAUCCCUCACUGAUUAAUACCAUUUUUUCUUUCAAUCUGUAUAGAUUGAACUUAAACAUGUAUAACUUAUGGAGUAACAUAUUAUAUAAAAACAAAGUGACAUUCUUUUAUAGGAUGAAAUUAAUUUUACGGUACAUUUUACUAGCAGAGGAGGUAGUAGUAGUGUAGUAUAACAUAAAUCUCACUGUUGAUUAGUAUGGGUAUUUUAGACUUUUUUUUAAGAAAUAACAAGGGAAACAUCACCAUUGAUCUAUGUGGCGUUGGCCAACAGAGAAACAUCACCCGGCAAUAUCGACGCGAUCAUACCGGCCAAGAACUCAGCAGCAGGCUUAGACCCUUUGCUUGUGCAUUUUCUUUGAUUAAUUCACGGUAGUACGUGCAUGAUUCAUGCUAGCUAGGCAUAGUGGAUUAAUUAAACUUACAACAGCUGGAUAAUAUGUUAAAUUGGUAAUUAUUCUUGUCAAGUCUAAUUUUGCAUAGCUUUAAAGUUGUAAUAGAUGAUGUCAAAGUUCUUUGCAGCAAUUGUCUAGUAGAUUAUCGUGUAUGUGCUAUGUUCCUCUUCAUUGGAAACACUUAUGCUGAAGCAAGGUAUCGUGCUCUUGCCUGGCCGCGCCGGAGUCUGCCAUAUUUUGAAUAGAGAUAUUUGAAAACUAAUUGUCUGAUUGCUAUAUUUAAAAUAUAUGAUUAGUUUAUACCUUUUACGUCUUUUACCAUUCUACCUAUGAACUUCCUAUUUCCCAACACCUAGGAGGUAGUAACUUUUAUCUCCACCGUCAGAUUAAACCAAAUGAACGAUACAUAUUGAUUGGAGGUACAGUAAAAAAAUUCAGGCCAUCGGAGGGGCGCGGCGAUGAGGUAGUGCUGGUUUGAGGUAGGGCAAGUCCUCCACGUGGGUGUCAUGGAGCAAGUCCUGCCCCGCCACCAUCAGCAGCAUCGGCGGCAUCUGCAGGUGUGCAACUGCCUCCGCUGCCAGCAACGGCGACGUGUACGGGCUAUCCUUGUUCGCCUCGAUCCACCGGCAACCCGAGCGCCAGCAACUUGUCGACCAUCUCCUCCGUCAGGAACAUGCCGGGGGGUUUCUCGAGCUCCGAUCGGCUCUUCUCCUCCUUGACAAAGCCCGGAUGGAGAAGAAUCCCGCCGGCGAGCUUCACCUGGUGGAGAUCAGAGGGAAUGUCACCUUUGGCCGCGCGCGUGCCGCCACAAGGUGCACAAGCUAGGUUGCCGCCGGCGCUGUCGCCAAUGAGGAACACACGUGAGAAGUCAGCCCCUCAUCGCGCAGGCGUGUUCCACCGUUGGUACGUUCAGCAUGGUCAUUGUUGUUUGUAACGUCCUUGCCACAAGCGACGUCCUGCAGCCAGAGAAGUACUGCGGCAUGACCAGAUAGCGUCAAUGGCCGCGGGCAGGCGGUGCUCGGGUGCAAGUGGGAGGAAUACGGAGACGACGCCGGCGAUGUCGAGCUUUGCGGCGAGAUGGGCAUAAUUAAAACUCAUGGUAGAGUGCCCAUGAGGGCAUUUCUGCUGUUGUUGCUAACUUACUAACACGGUGGCACCAGGGGGAAGACCUCAGCUAUUUAAAGCCCACAGAGCUGUAACGUUGGAAGUGUUCGUUUUAUUGUUCGAAACUAUAGCGUUGGAAGUUACAUAGAGAUCGUAUUAAUGAUCAGAUAACAUGCCAAUGCACAAAGUCCAUGAUUAAACAACGGGAUGUAAUAAUCGAAGCAAGUGUUUUCUUACAUGUAAAUCCAAAUUCCAUGGAAAAACUUAGGCAUUACACGAUAAAUAAUUACUACUUAGGUGCUUAAGUCAACCUUCGGAACUUAAUUAGUACGUGCAGUUGCAGUCCGGUGCCAUUAGUUUUCAAUUUAUUCGAAUCAAAACUGAACCUGGGUCGUUAUUAUCCCUCGAUCUGAACUGGUGAGAGACGUGCUGAAAUUAAGUCCAAAAAUUCAAGAGAACUGGCAUGGAAAAAUACAGGAUUGAAGACAAUUAAUAUAGGGGAUCAUAUUUUUCUAGAGAUCUAUACAGAUCUCUGGAAAAAAGAAUCGAUAGAGCAGAGACGCCAGACGCGUGCAAUGCAUGUGAAACUUAUAUAGCAUCCUAUCAUGAGCAUACAACGUUGUUCUGCCAUUAGUCAAAUAUACUUGCUCUACUCUUCGACGUCUUCGCGUUUUCUGUCUCUUUUCGAGAUCAGCAAAAUAUAUCCAUGCCACUUUAUAAACAUGACCCAAUCAGUAAUUAAUGUCAUUGUAAAUCAAUUUAGAGCUACCACUGGCGUCAGUUAGCAUACGUCAUUGCAUACACACACGUAAUUUCAUAUAUGGCUAGGACUAGACAGACCUAUGAAUCUAUCGAGCUCAUUGCAGUACUUCGAUAGAAAUUUUGUUCUCGCUGUGCCCACUGCACGAGAGACCAGGAUGUGCAAAUGACCAUUUAUUUUAUAGGGGCAUGAUUGGCAUUCGGUUGUAAACAAUGCAUGCCCAUGACUAGUCGAUCUUGUGGCACCCACAAGCCAACAAUUCAAUUGCAUAUGCUAGCAAAGCCUUCAACGUUGUGGACCGACGUGAGCUAGAACUUAGCAGCAACAGUAUGCUAAUUGAUUGCCGGCUUUCUGGAGCAUCAUUAGGAGCAAUUCCACCUAAACCGGAGCACAAUUAUCUUGUCAUCCAUGCAUGUAUGAUGAGAAUGAUGAAUCCACAUUCGAGUUGAAGCGGAGGAGAUGACGGCGGGCAACGGCAUCCGUGCACAAUAGGAGUAGCCACUAUGCGGUCAUUGGGGUCUAUAUAUAGAUUGCCAUAUGGCCCAAGGCCCGAUGGCCCAGCCCAUAGCACGGCCAUCUGGGCUGGGCUGAGCACGGCCUAGUCCGACUGUUGGGUCGUACCUGGGGCAAUGCCUUGUAACGUGGGUCAGCCCGAUAGAUAAAAAAAAUACUAAAGAACAUAAAAUAGACUUAAUUUAGUUAUAUAAAGCUUAGCCCAAAAUGAGAGGUACAGACUUAUUCGCGCAACCCUAAGAGGUAAGGGAGAAAAUCUAAACUUGCUUAUGCUUCGGCCUAUCGUGUUGUCGGGCUGGCCCAACAUGACCCGAGGCUUAUUGGGCCAUGCCUGGGCGGUCGGUGCAUCCCGUGGGCCGGCACCGCAUUGCCCGGUGUGGUUAUUGGGCCGUGCCGGCCCGGCAGGAGUAGGCACAAGCAUGGUCGUGCUUGGGCCAUGUCGGGCUGGGCAGGCCUGAUGUCCAUCUAUAUCGGCCUCGCAUGAGAAGGAGUGGAAGAGACACUGACCAAUGACAUCUGGCUCGAGAGUGAGUGAAGAAUAAAGGAUUGACAUGAAUUAUGGAAUUACCUUUCCACCUUCAGAAUCUGAAAUCGAUACCUAGUCUUGCGAGCAUAAGGUAUCAGGAGGUACCAACUUUUUCCAGUUAUUAUAUCACACGUAGUGGACAGCUGAGAUAUGAUAUCCCCUUAGAUUAUAAAAGAGAGCCCAUUAUAAAAUGUCUUUACUACAAACUAUAUUUAGAAGGUCAUAUCAUUGAUGAACCUACAUAAACAAGAUAUUUUACCAUCCUUAAAAGAAUUCCCAGAUUUAUCAAUCUUUUAUUGUAAAAUCUUAGUACCUUGAGAAUAUAUAGCACCUAAAUGUACCCUUUUGUGUUAAUAAUAUGGUAUCUUAAGGAAUAUCAUCUCAAAACGAGUAAUCAUUUUAAGAUACCAUUCAGGGUAUAGGAGCUGAAUUCCGCUUCAUAAUAAAAAAUCACUUCUUCUUUAGUUAAAAAAAACUCCAUUGUUAAUUAAGCAAUCCUAUUCUUGGCAAACAAAACGUGUGUAAAUAUUGAUUCAUAUACCAUACAUAUACUCAAUUUUAUUUACGCAGGAAUAGGGAACUAGCUAGUACGAAACAUUCACCAAACCGACCAAAUAAGGCACAAAUAACAUACACACAGAACUGAAAUUCGAAAAAUAUACAAACAUAUCAAACGGCGAAUGCUUGGCUAAAUGCCAUUUGGACAGGCACGCACGUACGAAUUACAGUAUCACACGAUACAUGCAAGGCAUGCACGAUGCCUUGCAAAUCACGUAGUAGAAGGGAGGAUGAUCAGUGCCUGUUAAUGAAUGCCUUGAUGGUGCCAAUGAGCUCACUGGUCCGCUCCGCCGUGAGUUGAUCGGACUCCACCGCGAAGAAGUUGAGGUAGAAGAUGUGCGCCACCGCGCCUCGGCUCACCACCGUCUCCACCACCUUCCCGGCGUGCACCAUGGCCUCGCCGUACUCCACCUGGGGGUCAUGCAGCAAGUCCUGCUCCGCCACCAUCAGCAGCAUCGGCGGCAUCUGCAGGUGCGCCACCGCCUCCGCCGCAAGCAACGGCGAGGUGUACGGGCUGUCCUUGUUCAUCCCCACCGGCACCGCGAGCAACAGUAACUUGUCCACCAUCUCCUCCGUCAGGAACAAGUUCGGCGGCUUCUCGAGCUCCGACCGGCUCUUCUUCUCCCGAGCGAAGCCCGGACUGAGAAGCACCCCACCAGCGAGCCUCACCGGGUGGAGAGGCGGCGCCCCGGCGGCGUCCUUCGCUGCGCGUGCUGCCACGAGGUGCACGAGGUUGCCGCCGGAGCUGUCGCCGAUGAGGAACACGCGCGAGAAGUCGGCGUCGUCACGGAGGCGUUCCACCGCCGGGUCAAGGUGCGCACCAUCGUUUCCACCUUUGUUGCAUGCGACGUCGCGGAGCCAGAGGAGCGCAGCAUGGCCGGCGUCGAUGGCAGCAGGGAGGCGGGGCGCGGGGGCAAGGGGGGGGGGGGGGGGGGGGGCACGUCGAGCUUACCAACGAGAGGGGCAUAGAAGUUGUGGUAGAGCGCCCACGAUGGACGAGAGACACAGAACCCACCGCCAUGGAAGUGUACGAGGAGAGGGCGCCGUCGCCGGGGCACCGCUGCCGGCUCCCGGAGGUAGAGGCGGACGUCUACACCGCUGGCCGUGGUAACGUCGUGCACGGUGACGCCGUUGCGUGGCUCGGCGUAGGGCUGGACGAUGGCAGUGAAGGGCUCGGCACCCGGCGGUGUCAGCCGCUGGACGGUGCCGUCGGAGUAGAGGCGGAGCCAGCCGGUGACCUCCUCGACGACCGUCUUGUUAGGAUCGGUCCCGGCGGAGGUUGUCGAGGCCAUUUCAGCUAUAGUUGAUAGCACCACAGCGAAGGCCAGACCCCAUCUUAUUGAGCCCAUUGUGAUGUCGUUGGAAGUUGGAACAAUCAAAGAUACAGAUCUAGGAUUAAUAAUAAUGAUCGAUCAUAUAUAUAGCAUGCAAGCGCACGAAGUCCAUGCAUGAACCAAAUAAUUAAUAAUGGUACAGGAUCACGGCAUGAUUUUUCUGACUAACAAAUUCCAAUUUUAAUGUUAAAGCUUAUAUUAUCCAACUAAUUAAGCUGUUCAAGGAGUCAAGGUCAACUUCCAGGACAAUUAGCACGUACAGCGUCAUUACUCAUUAGUUAUUACUUGCGAGUUAGCGUGCAGAAAUGCAGAACAACUUGCCCAAAUUGGUAAUGUUUAAAAAGACGUCCGUGAGAAGUUAUACAUAGGUAUUUUUUAAUGUUAUCUAUGAUAUGUCCAAUCGAUAAAGAUGAGAUACAUCCUAACAUAACAUAUAAUUCUAUUGAGAUUGAGCCAAAUACUCCGUUCGUUUCCUACUAUAUAAGUUGUUUUGCUUUUUUAAAGUCAAACUUCUUAAAGUUUAACUAAAUUAUAGAAAAAUAUGGUAAUAUUUACAACAGUAAAAUUUUUAACAUUGAAUAUAUUGUGAACUUAUAUUUUUUAUUUUGAAAAUACUGCUUUAUUUUCUAUAAUAAUAUUCAAACUUAAAAAAUUUUAAGUUUGAAAAAAAUCAAAGUAUCUUUCGAUUAUUAUAUAUUUGACUCUCCUCUCUAUUUUUUCUCUCUUUUCUACAUCAGCAACAUUUAGAAAUGACAAUGAAGAUGUAUCGUUAAGUUUAGCCAUCUAUACCCACCAGCGAAGUCAAGGAAAACAGAAUGUCCUUGUUCCCAUAGCCGGUAGGCGCGGACAUUUGAUCUAUUCAGUUAAUUCAAUUUGGUCUUUCGGUCUCUAAGGAAAUUCAAUUAUCAAAAACUCAAGACUGAAUUGUAUUGUAAAAAACUCAAGACCGAGCAACGGUCAGUUAGGUUUGGUCUUCGAUAAUGACCAAAAUAUGUGACGCUUUGAGGAGAUCAAAAAUCAAGCAAAUUACAAUAAAAUUUUGAUGACACUUGCCCUCUUUUAUGACAUGAUUUUUUAAAUUAAAUAGCAAAAAAGAUAACGAUAACCAAUAUAUAGUGCAAUAAUUUACCAGGAUGCCAUUGAUCACAUGGCUCUUACUUCCAAUUUAUGCACCUAAUCACCAAGAUUUACAUAGCUAUUUGUCAUUCUCCCUAGUUACAGUUAAUUAAGGAUGAUUCGAAUUAACCCGAGUAAUUUUGGUUAGUGGAAAAUACAAACUAACUUUCUAACCAAAACUUUCAAUCUCGGUCAUUUCGGUUUCGGUCAUAAAUAGUUCAGUUCAGUUUUUGGUCUCAUUUAUUUUUGUCCACCCAUAAUAGUGGGUAUAGGACACCCUUUUGGGUCUACACAAUCAACUUUGCUGCAUUUGAAGUUAGCGAAAUAACAUGAUGCUAUUUAGAGUCAACAACAACGUGAUUAUGUAACUACCAGACAUGAAAUUGGUAACACAACACGGAAAAUAAGAGGGGACGACGGUAUUUGCGGGUGGCCGACAAAGUACAACACAUAGGAGGAGGAUCUAUGAGACUAUGAAGGAUGGGAGGAAGUUCGCUUAUGUUAGUCAGCAUGCGUUAAGGUUAUGUCAAGAAGCAGAUAUGUAUCACUGGAGGACCGAAACCCACAAGGGGCCUCGAGACUGAACGGGCAUGGCCUAACGUCGGCUGACCUGACUUGACUGCAACGUGCCCAGAGCAGCCGCGCCAUCGGGGGCUAAUUAGACUUUUCGGUCCUCAGCGCACACAUAAUAUCUGGGCCGGCCCAAAUACGAGCUGCUUUAGUAAUUUGGUGGAGUAAAAAUUUGCAGCGUCGCCGUGACCGUGUGAAUAACCGAGAUCCGCAGACUUCGCCCCGACGAUUUGUGCUAGCCGCUAGGACAAAUACAAUAUUGCAUCAAUCAGACAAUCACUAACGCUAAUCCAUUUCCCAAAGCUUCUAAUGCCAGAUUAGAACAAAAUCCUGUAGUAACCCCCAUACUGUGUGAGUGCUAAUGGAAUAAACUACGGAUGCACUAGGAUUACUUCAUUAAUCACGCUUCGAAUGAAGCAAAGAAAAUUGGAGACAGAGAGCAAAAAAAUUGUGUACAAAGUACAGUGGCAUGUGAGGCUGCGUACGUGCAUGUGUCACCGAGCGUGCGCAGCGAGGGGCAUGGCCUCCGCGAGCGGCGUGGCCAUCGGCGACGGCAGCGGCGAGUCGCGGCACACCGGGCAGGUGGCGCUCACGCGCAGCCACCGCUNNNNNNNNNNNNNNNNNNNNNNNNNNNNNNNNNNNNNNNNNNNNNNNNNNNNNNNNNNNNNNNNNNNNNNNNNNNNNNNNNNNNNNNNNNNNNNNNNNNNNNNNNNNNNNNNNNNNNNNNNNNNNNNNNNNNNNNNNNNNNNNNNNNNNNNNNNNNNNGGGGGGGGGGCCGACGGGGCGGCGCCGUCUUCGUUGACGAGGACCAGCACGGCGGCUGCGCCGGCCUUGGCGCGGACGCAGAUGUAGGAGGCGAGCAUGACGGUGGAGACGAAGACGAGGACGCCGACGGAGAUGCCGAUGCCGUAGCCGAGGCACACCGCGCCGCCGACGUCCGCUGCACCGGGCGGCGGCAACGAGGCGCCUGGAGAAGACGCGGGCGCGAACGAGACGGACGCGCGCAUUUCAGCGCGAGCAGCAAACGGGAGACCGCCGGAAUGUGGGGCUUGCAUUGCAGCUUGCAGCAGCUGGUCGGUGGCACCAACGAGCUGCGAUGCGAGAGAAUGCCGUGAUGAGAUUAAAGACGGAGCUGGUAGUAAAUGGAGGACGCGCGGAGGGAAGCUGAUCUGAGUAAAUUUUCUGAAUUUGGAUGGCGAGAGUGCGUACGUGCAGUGGCCGUGUCCGUGUGAGUAAACUACUGAAGGUGAACUAGUAAUUACAGGGUUACAGCAGUAAACAGUUGGGUACUCAUUCUUGCUCAAACGCUCACCGUGCAAUCACGUGGGAAAGUCGUAUCCAGCGUUCAUCAUGAUUUAUGAAGCGCACAACUACACGAGUAGGAGAGGACCACAUCGCAAAUUGCAAGCUUAUAAUUGUAAAUGAAUGUGAGCACAAGUACUCACUCGCUGGAUGAUAGUCGAGACGGUACGUUGUUGGCAUCACUGGAAGCCACAGAGAAGUAGACAACAUGUCUAACUCGAAUCAGUUUUAUGGGACCAUGGCCACAGCCUCCAGUCCCCACAGUCUCCCGCGUGCUGUUUUUCUCCUAGAAAAAUGAUAGCUUCAGAACGAUCGCAAUCGCCAUCAACGAGUGAUUAUCCCAUUGAAAAUGUGCAUAAAAUGGUUAAGAAUUGUACUUGAAUCGAAUUGAACUGCCAAUGAUAAAUAACAACUGGAGAAAAAAUUGUGUCAUCCAAAUAUCCCAUCAGUUGUUGUUCAACGAACAAUCCCACGAUGGCGCCAUGUUACUUGACAUAGCAUCAAUCUACACCCACCAAAAUACCUAAUGGCAGGAAUCUCGCUGAACUGUGGGGCCACGUCCACCUGCAUUGUCAGCACUCGACGCCGGCGCACGCGGCCCGCCGGAACGCAGGUGGCAGGUCAGGCGCGCGGCUCCACUUGCCGCCGGCGAUGUCGUACACCAGCACCAUCCCUUCCAACGCGCCGCCGCCGCCCCCGUUCACAUNNNNNNNNNNNNNNNNNNNNNNNNNNNNNNNNNNNNNNNNNNNNNNNNNNNNNNNNNNNNNNNNNNNNNNNNNNNNNNNNNNNNNNNNNNNNNNNNNNNNNNNNNNNNNNNNNNNNNNNNNNNNNNNNNNNNNNNNNNNNNNNNNNNNNNNNNNNNNNNNNNNNNNNNNNNNNNNNNNNNNNNNNNNNNNNNNNNNNNNNNNNNNNNNNNNNNNNNNNNNNNNNNNNNNNNNNNNNNNNNNNNNNNNNNNNNNNNNNNNNNNNNNNNNNNNNNNNNNNNNNNNNNNNNNNNNNNNNNNNNNNNNNNNNNNNNNNNNNNNNNNNNNNNNNNNNNNNNNNNNNNNNNNNNNNNNNNNNNNNNNNNNNNNNNNNNNNNNNNNNNNNNNNNNNNNNNNNNNNNNNNNNNNNNNNNNNNNNNNNNNNNNNNNNNNNNNNNNNNNNNNNNNNNNNNNNNNNNNNNNNNNNNNNNNNNNNNNNNNNNNNNNNNNNNNNNNNNNNNNNNNNNNNNNNNNNNNNNNNNNNNNNNNNNNNNNNNNNNNNNNNNNNNNNNNNNNNNNNNNGCAGGGGCCGCGCCGGUGAGCGCGUCGACGCGUAGCGUGGCACCACGGCCGAUGAGGAAGACCUCGCGGCCCAGCACGACCGCGCGGGCGUGCGCGAACACGGAGCCACCACAAUGCAGCAGGGUCGGGGGCAGGGGCAGCGCCGCGACCUCGAGCACGGGAGCGAAGGCGUCGAACUGGAGCAGCGCUUGCGCGAUGAAACCACUGUCGGAGACGGAGAGGGCGAGGAGAGAGGGGUGGAGCUGGGCGUGGGCGCGGCGGCGGUGGCGGAAGGCAUCGGAGGCGAGGAGCGUCGGGCAGCGGCGCCAGCCGGCUGGACGCCGCGGGAUGGAUGCGCGGGGGACGCGGGCGAGGCACUCGAGGAGGAGGUCGUCGGGGAGGGCGGAGAUGGGGGACGCCGACGAGGGAGGAGGUGGUUGGAGGGUGGUGGGGCAAAGUGCCGGAUGAGCCGGAAUGGGGACUGGGACGGGGACGGCGAUGUGGCGGGCGGGGUCGGCGGGGAUGCAAGAUUUGACGAGCCACGAGAGGCUGCGGGAGUGGCAGCUCUCGGCGGCCGGCAUGGCGGAUUGGAUUCGGAGCUCAGGCGGCGACGGCGAGCUGCUCCGGGGACGGGGAGCAGCGAGGUGGGUGAUGAUUGGGCAUGGGGAAUCGUGGGAGUGGAGUGGAGCAGAUGGUAUGCAUACGGUCGACCUAUACUCACGUCCUAAAAACUGUUUUCUUAGGAGUGCAUUAGAGGGAAAGUCGUUGUGCGGAUGGGCUCGUGCCCCCACCUUGUGCGGGCCGUAGCAAAGCUUGCAAUCGCGACGCUGGUUGAACCGUAGCUUUCAUUUGAAAUUUGAAGGUUUGGGUUUAAAAUUCGAGUAUUUUAAAUUUGUCCUGUUAUUCCGCUUGUGUCGCUCGAACUUAAGCCUUUGUAUAGAGUAUAGACGAGUUUUAGAGCAUGAGCAAUAGAUGCCUAAAAAUUUAUCUCCAAAAUUCAGUUUUAGGAUUUCCAAUCAUGUUGUAAGGUAUGAAUAUAUUGCUUUCUCCAGUAAAAAUCUAAAAGUUAACUCCUAGAGAUUUGAUCCCGUCCAACAAAAGGUACAUCGAGAUACGGUACCUCAAAGUAUUAAAUUGUUUUUCAUCAUUGGAUUUAGCUAAGUAGGAUGUGCACUGUUAGAUCCAACGAUCAGAAACGAUUUGGUACCAUGAGGUACCGAUACCUCGAGAUACUUUUUGUUAGACUGAAACAAAACUCUAACUUCUAUAGUAAUAAAAAGCGGAUACACUCUCUUUCUAAAAAAGUGGAUACGCUCUUAAAAAAGACAAAGAUCACUCUUGCCUCCACAUGCCUUCACAUGCGUGAAUCGUAUAAUACUUCACCGACCCGGAGAGCUAGAAGGACAGAAAAAUAUGUUCUGAUUGUUAGAGCCAAUUUUUCAUUAACAUACUCAAAAGUGUGUUACUAAAAACAUAUUAGGUAUCUAUUGGUUGGUCAGUUGAUUUUAUCUGAAAAUAAAAUCCAUAAUAGAUUAUAAUUUUGCUUACAAUUGAUUAUAAUCCAUAACGUCUUAUCAAUGAUUAAAAAAUAUACAAUAAAACUUAUAUAUGUGUGCGUGUGCCCGCGUACGGCAUCAACGAUAUAAAAUCAAAUAAUAGAAAAUAAGAUAAGAUUAAAAAAAAACCCCAAAAUUGACUUUCAAAUCGUUUUGCGAUAGCUUAUAGCCUGAUAAUUAGACUAAGUUAGUACUAGGAGAUCAUAAGUUUCCAACUUUGAAUUGCUUAGCUUGACCAACCCAGGAGUUGUUUUGUUGGUAGCUACACAUUGCCAUGCUGAUAAUGCAAGUUUGAUCAAUUUAGCAGCUGUUUGUUUAUAACCACAGUUGCAGUGGAAUUCCAUUCCAUAAAUUAGGGCUCAUGUGUCAACGAGAAAAAAAAUCGUGUUUUACAAAUGUUGAUAAAAAUCUAGCUACCAAACUAUGAACAGCCCAAACCUUUUCAUACAGGUGGAGCAAUUUGACUACACAAAGAACGGUUCACCAUCUAGCACAGGCUAGCUUCCAGUGUGUGUCAUGCGACUCAUGCAGCAAUUUGCACUCCAUUGCUUUCCAUGUCUUAAAGUUGGACUAGUAAAUCUCUCUUCUUUAUUUACAAAAGAAAAAUUAGUGCUUUAUGAAAAGGAAAUGGACAUAGAGCGCACCGGCAUGGGUAAAGUACAUUGUCGUAAUAGGAUGGUGGCUAAUCCAGUAGAUGGAUGCAAAUCACCAAAGUCAGACCAGAUUGGUAGUCAAUUGUUCCAAGGAAAAAAAAUAUGACCAUUAUUAUGGUUAACACGAGUGCAAAGAAUAGAAGAAUGUAAGAGCAAGUGGGCAGUGGCAUCACAAAGCAUCACAUGUGUGGUUUCCUGGAAGCUGCAAACUACAUGCAAACUAGCUCCAGUCUCCUUGAGAAGUUCAGAUGCAUAUAUUCCCCUUUCUGUAGCAGCCUUGAAGGUUGUAGAUGCCACCAACCACAACCAUGAGCGAUCGAACGAUGCAUACGGUUCCUCCUCCUCCUGCUGCCUCCUCAUCGCACGGUGAGGACUUCGCGGAGGUUGUGGGGGUGCGCCAUGGGGAGACCGCCGGCAACGCCUUACGCAUCAUUCAGGUCUUUGGUCUUGUCUCCCUGAAUCCCUUUGUUCCUGUGAUCCUGUCACCGGCUUAGUCCUUUUCAUUUUUCUUCAGAAUGAUACUUGUUGGUUUACAGCCAAUGCUCUUCUCGUCGUCUUUCCAUCAAUUUUCUCAAGUUUGACAUUUGACAGAGCAUCCAGAUCAUUUUCACAGGGCCAUAUGGAUAUAGAGCUAAAUGAAACUGGCAAACAACAAGCUGUUAUGGUAAGCUAUACCGAUACAUUUCAAAUAAUGAAUAGAAUUAUGAUUUUGGUUUAGUCUGAACUUGGAGUUGCAUCAUAUGAAUAUCUGAAACUUGGCUUGGUUGUAACUUGGAAGGUUGCUCGUCGGUUGGCUAACGAAGCUAAGCCAGCUGCUGUGUACUCCUCUGAUUUGAAGCGUGCUGCCGACACUGCGCAAACUAUAGCUACUGCUUGCAAUGUGUCCUAUGUACGUACAUACAUACUCCACUAUUCUAUUCUGCAAUGAGUGCCAUUUCCAGUAGUAAACUUGCUAAGCUUCUCAUCAUUUCGUUUGCUUCAGCUGGUGCUGAAUCCAGCACUAAGAGAAAGGCACAUGGGAGAUCUCCAUGGCCUGAAGUUUGACGAUGCCGUCAGAAGCAAGCCUGACGCUUACAAGGCUUUCACAUCUGAAGACAGAAGCCAAGAAAUCCCUGUGACCUUUUCAUCCUUAAUUUUCUCAACAACUUCUUAUCCUUGAUAAAAUACUCUGUAGCAGAUAUUUUUGAACACUUCUCUGUUUUGGCAGGGUGGUGGGGAGAGCCUUGAUCAACUGUCUGACCGCUGUGUUUCGUACUUGAACACGAUAGCUAGCAAGCACAAGGGUAGGCAAUAAUUCUCACUCGGGUUUUAGUAUGGUUGACACACAGUGAAUUUUUCUUAGUGAAUUAGCUGCUUGAAAUAUAGCAGUUGAAAGAUAAAAAAUGUUCAGAAUGCACCUGCAUAUUCUUAUCAUGGUUAGCAAGUCAUUCAACCAGUUGCCCAUGAAACACAUCUAGAUUAAAAUUUCCGCGUAUGUCAGGGGAGAGAGUGAUUGUGGUUACCCAUGGCGCAAGCAUUGAGGAACUCUGCAGGCAUGCCGAUCCAACUAGCUCAGUUCCUAGGAGAAUCCCCAACACUUCGAUCUGUGUAUUCCACAUUUCUGGCACCACUGGUCAUUGGAUCCUAGAGAGGUUUGGAGACGUCGCCCAUCUUAUGGAAGUCAGCUUCCCGAAGACUGCAUUUGGCGGCGAUGGCGCAUCUGCGUAAUGCCUCCAACCAUCCGAGUAAUCGGUUGGUCUUGUUAGACAUGAGAAAAAAACUAUCCGUUUAUGGUUCUCCAUUCUCGGCUUGUCACGUUACAUCUGUGUUCUUUUUCUCCAGUAUUCUUAGUAUUUGGUAAAUUUUUUGAACUGCUAGACAAUAUAUUUUUAUAAAAUAUUUCUACAUUUAAUAUUAUAGUAGUUAAUUCUAUCAUUUACACUAUUAAAUAGCUACAUAUAAAUUAGAUAAUCUUUUAUACGUUUAUGGGUUAGGGCUGCAAAGUCUGCAGCAGUUUCUUUUUAGAAAAAAAUGGUAUAAUCACUUUUAAAGUAGCUUUAAAUGGGCAAAAAGCGUACUGUAAACAGGAAUGACAUGCUGAAAGCAAAGACAACAGGACCACUACCUGGUGUGCCAACUCCAAUUGUGUCCCCAAGUGAAAUCUCCGAGCAACCCAUAUCAUAGAGCUCCUUGGCUACAUAUGCUACCUUUGAUGGAUGAAUUGCACCUUUAACAGGGCAGCCAACCACACAUGAAACAUACCUGUGACAAUCAAGGUUUGAAAAUUUUCAGAUUAGAUUGCUGCCAAAUGGUUUUAACCUGUUUGUUAAAUUGCAGGCUUAACAGAUCAUCAAACUUAUGUUACUUACCCACGGAGACGUAUUCCAUGUUUCUUGGCAGAAGUUAUAACAUCACGGUACCGAACAAGGCUUUCCUUGAUGGUACAAUUAAGGUUUGACUUAGAAAAGGAUUCAGAGGCAGAUGCGAAAACUGCAACUUCUUUUGCACCAGCUGCAACAGCAGCCUCAAAUCCCUAGAAAAGAGGAAAUAAAGUUGAUCCUUCACAAUAGAUCAUAGCGCUCCAUAAAGCAAUAUGUAUGAUCUAUUGAUGCUAUAGUGCUAUAUUGUGUAGUCUUUCUAAAGAUAGAACAGAAAUGGACAUACUCUGAGGUUAGGAGUUAACACUGGGAACCGCACAUCUGGCACAUGCCUAAUCCCUUCAACUACAUCCUUUGCAUCUGCUAGCUGCAGCGCCAAAUUGAGUGAUAAAAGUUAGCUAUUUGAACUUGAACUUAUACCAAUUUUAUCAUGUUUUUGUUCUGUAAUGAAUUAGGCUGUGCAAUUUUGCAAACGAAUGCCAUACCACAAAUUGAUAGCAAAAGAAGUUAAAUGGAACUAUCAGUAACAACCUCUGAUGAGCAAGUAAGUGUGUCAGAUAUGCAUAGCAUGCUACAAACUGAGAAAGGUGGAUUUUUAAUCAAGAAUUAUCCGUGAUUUAAAUUAAUGUAUGAUACGACAUGUUUUCACUAACUCUAAGUAAUUACCUGCGGCACCCAUUUUGGGGAAACAAAACUUGUGGCUUCAACUACUGAUAGCCCAGAAGCCACCAAUUUGUGUAUCAGUUCAAUCUUUACCGAUGUUGGUACAGUAUUCUUCUCAUUUUGCAGACCAUCCCGUGGUCCAACUUCAACUAUCUUCACAAACCUUGGGAGGUCCCAUAAAACCUGAAAACCAAUUAUCAUCAGGUGAGAAAAAUGAAAUAAUUGGUGCUGUUUUACUAGCACCACCCUUCUUUAGCCACCAUUUUGACUUAUUUAUAGUCACGAAUCAUGAAGGUAAAUAGAAACUGUGACAUACUGAAUGGCCACAGACAUAAUGCUAAGUUCGUUCCUUCUAUUUGAGGUGGUCUAAUGAAACCUACAACAGGUAAAUGAAAUUUGAACGCAUGAACCAUUCAAUAACAAAUGAUCAAACUACCUUCCGGGGAAGAGCUCUGAACUCCAUAUCCACUCCAUUGCAGGAUGAAUCGGUAUAUCGACCUUGCAUAUGCCAUGAAUGGGCACUGCUGUGAAAGAUCGUCUGAUUGUUGCCACCAUUGCGUUGCUUGUAACUGAAAGUAAGCCCACAUAGUCAUAUGUUGCAUGUCUCAGUGCAUCCUUUGGCAAUAAAAUUCUACUGGCGAUAAAGUAAAACAGGUUUCCUUUAGAAGAAAAAUAAUAGGUGUCACUGAAUUGUGAUAAGUGGAAAUGUACAUGAUUCCUUGUACCCCUUGAAAUACUGGAAAAACAUUAUGUAUGGAGGUAUUAGUAUCCGACAAAAUGACAAACACUUGGAAAGAAAGAUCUUCCGUUGGCCCGGAGAGAAGCAAAUACUAGGAAAGAAAGAAUGUAUCCUUGUAUGGUUUGAGAAGAGUAAAACUUACUUGCUAGGGCUGCAAUCAUCAGCGCUUGCUCUGCAGGCACUUGGAGAGAACCUUUCAAGUCUGUUAAUACUCAACUUUGGCAGGUCCCCAAGACCAAGUGGCUCCUCAAGGCUCGACAUUCUGCGAUGCAGGCGUUAAUUACAAUGUUAACGAAAAUGUUCAGAUGAACCUUGAUAAACCAUGCUGAAUGAGAUAAGCUUCCGAAUAAUUUAAAUUAAAGGUGGAGGAGCAUAUUCAGAAACAGUGCACUAGUCCGCAUGGAAUGGAACGUUUGAAAUCCAAUCCAAUGGGACUCGCAAAACAUGUCCAUUCCUCCGGCUUGGUUGCAGUUUCUAGAUUGCAAUUUCAUGGGACUCGCAAAACAUGAAAUUUACUCAAUUGUUUCCAUAUCCUACCGGACUCACGGAUUUACAAUUGCAAUUUCUAGAUUGAAAACAAUUGAGUAAAUUUCAUACAACCAUAGGCGGCAAAAAAGAAAAAUUUUCUAUUACUGAAUCUUGGGGGAAAAUAUUUCUACCGUAUGAACCUUUUGACCACGCCACCAAUAUUGGCGUAACAAAACAAUGUUGCCACGUAGAGUUUUUUUGGUGUGGUAGGCUUGCCACACUACUGACUGGUGUGGCAAGACUGCCACGGCAACCAGGUUGUGUGACCGUUUACAUACUUUUUUAUAACCUAUUUUGGUAGGAUUUUGCUAAUUUAACAUAUGUUUUACCUAUUUUUUUAUAACUCAUAUUUCGUCGCCACUUUGAUGUUUUGACAUACCCAGUAGAAGCCAUUUUGAUGUUUUCGCAUACCAGUGAUAACAGUAAGAUCAAGCUUUUAUUGAAUAUGUCGUGCCCAUCGAGAUAAAGUGUUAUUUUAACGAAUCCCAUAAAUUACUCUCUCUAUUUUUUUCAUUUGAAAUCAUUGACUUUUGGAUUACGGUUAACUAUUCAUCUUAUUUUAAAAAUGCAUCGUUAUUAAUUAUUUUAUGGUGAUUUAAUUUAUUACUAAAGACACUUACAAUUUUACAUAUUUACAUAAAAAUUAAAUAAUAUAAAUAAUCAAAUGAAGAUUUACAAGUUAAAUACCUUCUUUAGCACAUCACUGGAAAAAAAUAAAAAAACCACGCAUGCAAAAAAAUUAAAUGAAAAAAAACACGCACGCAUCUCACACCCACCGCGCUCGCCCCAGUUGCUUCAUACCACACGCCCCGCUUACCCUCGCCGUUUGCCGGCAUCCCUGCCCACCCCCCCUCGCCGCCGCCACUCGCCCUAGCUGUGGACCCUUGCCGCCGCGGCUUCCCCGCUGCCUCGCACCCGCCGCUUGCCCCGUACCUGCCUCGCCCUCGCGUGGAUGGGAACGACAUCGCUGGUCUCGAAAGUCAGGCUGAGGCUGUGGCAGCUGCUCUGCGGGGCUAGCUGUAAUUCAUGGGUAUUUAGAUAUAUACUCAAGGUUUUUUUAAAAAAUACCUAUAUUAUAUAUACCAUGUAUACCUAAUAUGUAUUGAAUAAAACAAAAAGAAAACACAUUUCAGCACAAACAGACAAAAAAAAGUUUAUUGGGUCAUUUUUCUUAAUUUGGCCCAUUUCAUACCAACCAACUAAGGCCCACGGCCUAAUAAUGCUAACCCUAAUGAGAGGCUUGGGGCUGGGCCGGCUGCCUGUUGGUUGGGACUGGCUGGGGCAGGGGGCGGCGGCUACCGACAGGCGGACAGCGCGGGGGCGGUGGAGCGUGCAGGGAGGCAGGCGGAGGCGAGGAGCGGCCGAGUGGGACGCCGCGCCGUGCGACCGAGCGGAGCAGGAGAGCCUCAGCCGCCGAGGUCGGCGUCCUUCCGAGGGGCGAGGCGAGGCGGCGCCGGCGAGAGCCGCGAGGCUGCAGCGCAGGGCCGCAGGAGCUCUCCCAUCGCCACUGCAAAUCUGCAAUGCGCAAUCUAACACGGUAAUUAGCGUGCUCUGUGGCUCCAACUGCUGACCAAAAGGUUAAAUGCUGCUACUUGCUUUUUUCAGAAAAUCAUGGUUUUGUAGUUGGUUGUUAAGUGGCAAAUGUUAAUGCCUCAAUCUGAAACUUAUGUUUGAUGAUUGAUGCCUGCAUGGUUGAAAUAACAUUUGUACCGAAUUUUGUGUGACAUGGUUCGCUUGUUAGUUCCUAUAUAUCAAGGUCACAUUUAAAAAUGUUUAAUUAUUGCUAUGUCGAAAGUGCUAAGUAUAAGAUCUAAUUUCAGGCACCAGCAGCUGAUGAAGAAGAUAGGAGACUGAAGAGGAGAAGAAAGUAGCAGAACAACGUGCAGCAGCUGUCAAGACUUCCGGAAAGAAGAAAGAAUGUAUGUAUUUCAUCCAUUUGUAGGAUCCCUGCCUCAUUGUGACAUUUAGUUUAGGUAGUGACAAAAGGUUGAAGAUUACUAAAGAGAAGGGUUAAGGCCUCGUGCAGCUUUGCUUAUUAAUUCCAAGUUAAUUUUUGAAAAACUCAUAAAAUUGGUAGUACAAAUAAAAAAGUUUNNNNNNNNNNNNNNNNNNNNNNNNNNNNNNNNNNNNNNNNNNNNNNNNNNNNNNNNNNNNNNNNNNNNNNNNNNNNNNNNNNNNNNNNNNNNNNNNNNNNNNNNNNNNNNNNNNNNNNNNNNNNNNNNNNNNNNNNNNNNNNNNNNNNNNNNNNNNNNNNNNNNNNNNNNNNNNNNNNNNNNNNNNNNNNNNNNNNNNNNNNNNNNNNNNNNNNNNNNNNNNNNNNNNNNNNNNNNNNNNNNNNNNNNNNNNNNNNNNNNNNNNNNNNNNNNNNNNNNNNNNNNNNNNNNNNNNNNNNNNNNNNNNNNNNNNNNNNNNNNNNNNNNNNNNNNNNNNNNNNNNNNNNNNNNNNNNNNNNNNNNNNNNNNNNNNNNNNNNNNNNNNNNNNNNNNNNNNNNNNNNNNNNNNNNNNNNNNNNNNNNNNNNNNNNNNNNNNNNNNNNNNNNNNNNNNNNNNNNNNNNNNNNNNNNNNNNNNNNNNNNNNNNNNNNNNNNNNNNNNNNNNNNNNNNNNNNNNNNNNNNNNNNNNNNNNNNNNNNNNNNNNNNNNNNNNNNNNNNNNNNNNNNNNNNNNNNNNNNNNNNNNNNNNNNNNNNNNNNNNNNNNNNNNNNNNNNNNNNNNNNNNNNNNNNNNNNNNNNNNNNNNNNNNNNNNNNNNNNNNNNNNNNNNNNNNNNNNNNNNNNNNNNNNNNNNNNNNNNNNCUCCUCGUCCCCUACUUGUUCUCGCAAAAUCUCCAAUUUCUCUCUGUUUACUUCCAGGUGAUGAUCAUAAGAGGCAAGGAUAAGGGCGAGAGCGGGCUCAUCAAGCGGGUCAUCCGGUCGCAGAACCGUGUCAUCGUCGAGGGAAAGAAUUUGGUAAUGUAUUGCUAUACUGAUGCACUCUCCUCCAGUUAUUAUCAAACCCUACGUCGGUUUUGGGUUGAUUGGUCGAAUGAUUUGGUAGUUUUGUGCUAUCGAUUUAACUAUCCUAGAAAAAAAUCACUUAUUAUUUAGCCUGAUACGAAUUGAUACAUAUUUCCCCCUUUUCCAGAGUUCAUAUUAGUAUUAGGAGAUGCAAACUGCUGUAACAAAUGUAUACUCAACUAAUUUUCCAUUAGAGUUAUGUUUGUCAGAAUUAGAAAUUGUAAAUACACAUAAUAUAAUAUUAUUCCUCAGAGUAUACACCCAUUGUUGUAUAAGGACAGCAUAGACAUGAAGAUAGUUUGUACCUUGCAUGUCGUCAAAUCUAUGAGUGCUUGGUGGUGAUAUACUCAACAAUUUAGCUAUGUGUGAUUUUUUUAAAAAAAAAAUGGUAGCCGUAAAGCAGUUUGGCCUGUACGAGUAGGCAUGGAAUGAUCAGAAUUUGUAGAUGUUUACUGGAUCCUUUUGUUUUAUGUAUUGCAUACUGUUACAUGCUGUAGCUCUUUUGUAUCAUGUGUGUAUGUAUGAUUUCUAUGCCAUAACAAAUUAGUACCGAGUUAGUUCCUUCCAGUUGGAUAUUGAGGAAUUGAUUUUAGUGGAUGCCAAUUAAGAAUGGUGAAACUGUAAAAACCUUGUCCUUGUAAAGUCUUUUAUGUUAUUGUUACAUGUUACAUUUUUCUUGCUGGCUACUAGGCAGCUACAAUUAGUAACAAGUAACAACCCAUAACAUUUUCCUAGUCUUAUGUAUGUGAGUGUUCUUUGUUGUACAUAGGAAUUUUAUAGUAAUUGUGUGUUUAUGCCAUUUCAGGUUAAGAAGCAUAUUAAGCAAGGGGAAGGACAUACAGGUGGGAUUUUCUCAAUUGAAGCCCCACUUCAUGUUUCAAAUGUUCAAGUACAUGAUCCAGUCACUGGGUACGAUGCUUAAUUGUUCUUUCAUGAUAUCUAGACAUAUUUUUUUAUCUUCCAUUUCUACUGCAUCUUACUUAAAAAGGAGUAAAUUUAUCCGCACAAUGUUGGCUACAGGAAACCAUGUAAGAUUGGAUACAAGUAUUUGGAAGAUAGAACUAAAGUCAGGUUUGCUAGAGGAAUGAAUGCAUCUGGUGCUGUGAUACCCAGGCCAGAAAUUUUGAAGGAACGAAGAAAGCCAAGACCUACAUCACGUAUGUCUCCUAAGUGUCUGUCCCUUUAAAUAAAUACUAACAAAAGUGCUUAUAAUAACCUCAGGUACUGCGAAGUCAUGCAUAGUCACUACUAUAGAUUUUUCUUCUUACAAUAUUUUACUAGGAAUUACUUGUUGUGUAAUUGAAUGUAAUAGUAGUUAGUAAUAGUACAAUCUGAAAGAACUCUGAUCUUUUCACGGCAGUGUUACAAUUUGGUGUCAAAAUAUUAAAUAUGUUUGUUACAUAACUAUGGCCGCGUUCGUUUCAACCCGGAUAAGUUAACUUAUCCCGGUGUGGAAAACGUAACAAUAGAUUAGUACAUAAUUAAUUAAUUAUUAAUUAUUAAAAAAUAUAAAAUAGAUUAAUAUGAUUUUUUAAAACAACUUUCCUAUAGAAAUUUUUUGUAAAAAAUACCCCGUUUAGCAGUUUGGGAAACGUGAGCGCGGAAAACGAGAUACCUCCCUAGCUGAACUCGGCCUAUGUAUUUUUCUAUGAGAAAAUUGCGGUUCCACUGACAUUUGAGCAAAUGCAUUCUAUUCCUAUCAAUAUAUUGCCCUGCAUAUGCUGUAUAUUUGAUAUCUGACGAAACUAAUCUUCACAAUUUUGUUUUAUUCAUGCAGCUGGCCCGAAGGAUACACCAAUUGACCUUGUGCUGGAGAAAACCUAUGAUGCCAAGACUGGAAUUGGGAUGCCUGAUCUAUAAAGUUAGCAACGGGUUUUUUACGGAGGAAGAGUUCAGUGUAUGUGUUUGUGACCACUUUUGCUAGUUAAGAUAGCAGUAAGUCUCUAUUGCUACCAACUCUGCAUCUGUACCAGUCUGCUUUCAAAAUAAUCCUGUACCGGUAAUUGUAACCUCUUGUUUCGGUGAGAACUUUUAGCCUACUGGAAAUGACUUCACAUUUGGGAAUGGUUCAAACCAUUAUUUCUGCAUAGAUACAUAUUCUGAAACCAACUUAAUUGCUGCCGUUCAAUGUGCUGCGCGUACGUGUAUCUUCUGUUCCGCGGGAGAGACGAAGGCGCGUAUCCGUUGCGCCGGAAACUUGUUUAAAUGCAGCGACAUUGCGAUGUAGGUAAUCAAACUCAGACGUACAAGCAGAUCGACACCGAUAAAGACUUGGAACCGGGUAAAAAAAACACAGCAGCAAAUCAGUGGCUAUCGACGAAGCUCUUGACGGCAUCGACGAGCUCCCGCGCCCGCGUCGCCGCGACGGGGUCGGACUCCACCGCGAACCAGUUGAGGUAGAAUAUGUGGCCGAUCCCGCGGCCGCGGCUGACCACCGUCUCCACCGCCUUCCCCGCGCGCGCCAUGGCCUCUCCGUACUCCACCUGCGGAUCACGCAGCAUGUCCUCCUCCGCGACCAUCAGCAGCAUCGGUGGCAGCCGCGCGCCCUCCGCCGCCCUUGCUGCCGCCGCCGGAGACGUGUACGGGUGGUCCCUGCCGGUGGUUCCUACCGGCAGCGCGAGCAUCACGAACUUGUCCACCGUCUCCUGCGUCAUGAGCGGGGUAGGCCGUAGGUGGGUUCUCCAGCUCCGACCGGCUCUUCUCCGGCCCGAUGAACCCCGGCCCCCGGGUGGAGGAGGACCCCGCCGGCGAGGAGUAACGUGUCGAGGGGCUCCGCCCCAGCCUCGCCGGCGCGUGCCGCCACGUUGUGCACGAGGACGCCGCCCGCGCUGUCGCCGAUGAGGAACACGCGGGAGAAGUCGGGAUUAGCAAAUGUUUAUUGUAGCCUAAUUUUUUAAGCCGAGGAGGAACACGCGAGACAAAUUUUUUAAGUCUAAUUAAGUCAUGAUUAACAAAUGUUUACUGUAGCAUCAUAUUCGCUAAUCAUGGACUAAUUAGGCUCAAUGUAUUCGUCUUAUGAAAUAGUCCAUAGUAUGAGAUGAGUUUUAUUAAUAGUCUAUAUUUUUAAAUAAUUAAGGAGUAAAAAAAAGACGAACAUGCCCAAGGUUAGAUAGUAGUAGGAAAUGGUGGCCUUGGCUAGAUCAAUAAGACGAACAUGCCUAAAGUUAGAUAUUAGUAGGAAAUGGUGGCCUUGGCUGGAUCGAUUGGGCAACUAAUGGAGAUUGGACAACACUAGCUGCACCCACCAAACUCUUCCAAUAAAUGGUGUCUGUCGGUCUGUUCUCUCAAAACUAUCUGGAAUAUAGGAUCACUAUUUUUUUUUUUGAAAACGAAGCCAGCGUGAGCUGGUGCUAUAUUAAGAAGAGAUUAGAACAAAAACUGUUAAACAAGAUUACAAAAGCCACGCAUGGCCUGCUCCCUAGGCACAAGAAGGUCUUGAAGUAGUGGAAACUAAACGAAAAUUCUCGCAAGGUUAGUUGCCCCGCAGGCCUUCCAUAGGCUGAUUUCAUCAAAAAUCUUGGCCACAAGCUGUUGUGCGGUCAUUUCUUUGGACUGGAAGAUUCUCCCGUUCCUCUCACCCCAAAUUUCCCAGGCUAUGAGAAUUAUCAUCGUUUUGAAUCCAUUUGCCCGGGUGCGGCCUCUGUGUGCAAUAUUUUUUCUCCCACCACUGCAGUAUGGAGUCAUUUUCAUCAUAGUCUUGAUCCACCCUGAUGUCUCCUGCCUUUUCUGCCACCUUCCUCCAUACUUGCGUUGUGAAAGGACAAUCUUUGUAUAGAUGUUUUGCUGUCUCUAUAUUAUGAAGACUAGAAAAUUUAUGGUCCAACAAGCAGUACCAGGUACCGGAGUAUCAUAGUCUGCACCGUCCGAUAAGUAUGAUCUAACGGCUGUGGGUGGGAGGUACCGGGAAACACAGUACGCUAUUCUUGUUGGUGCCGCACGCACCCAAGGGCAACGACGUAAUUUUAUGAUGCGGCCAAUGUUUCGACGGACUCACCCUAGCUUUGCAAAGUUCUUCCUGACCGCCGCCUACGGCAAGGGGCUGGACCACAUCGCGCCCAACGACAGCGUGCGGUGCGGGUGGCGGCGCCGGCUAGGGUGCGGAUCUGCAGUGCGGAGGCGUUCGGCUCGACGGCGCGACGCAUGUAGGCGGCACUCCGCGGCGGCGCGGUGCGCACAAGUGGCGAGCCGGCGAGGGGAGCGCAUAGGCGCUAGCGACGCAACAGCGACAGCAAGCACAAGUGCAUGCAGGCGCAGAGGGCAGCGACGGCAAGAGCAAAAGCAGAAAAAAGAGGACGAUUUUAGACCUCUGUUCAUGGGAUCUUUAAUAGUUAUGUAUUUGGUUAAGAACAUGUAUCAUGAACGUCGUUGUUGAUUUCUCGUGCAUGAGUUUGUGUUUGUUUCUAGAUCAAAUUUUAGCUAUUUGUAAGCGGCGAUGAAAUCAGCGAUGGUGACACCGACGGCGGCGAAUCCGGCGACGGCGUCACCAUCGAUGGUUGCGGCUGCUGCGACACCUGCUGUGACGGGUACUGCCAUGAUGGUUGCUGCGACGACUCCUGUGGCGAUGGCUGCUACGUCUGUGAUGACUGCGGCGACACCGGCGGCUUGCAAAAUGGAGAAGACGAUGUGUGUUUGUUUGCUGUGGAUAGCAUGCGACGAAGAUGUUGUGGUUGUUUGUUAUACUAGUCAAAACACAAAAAAAACCAAUCAUAACCCUGAAAAUGAACGGCUGGAUUAGUCUCGGUACCGGCAACUACCAUCUGUUGGACAGAAGUAAUGCUCGUCAAUGUAAUGUUGGACCGUAUUGGCUGGGGGUGUUCUACUGUGUUUGUCAUCUUUCUGGUUCUGGUCGUAGCUGAUGGUGGUUUGUGGCUCAGCAGCCUUCUCUAUUGCUAACUCCGAACUUUUCCCUCUUCUCCGAUAUAAUAUUCCAUUUCAGGAAAAACAUUUUUAGAAGCUGUUAAUUCUGAACAUUUCCGAAUUUUGCAGAUACUCUGUCCGAGUUGGGGAUUUUUUCUAGGUUCUACUUCUUUUGUCGACAUGCUGUUCCGUUUUUUUAGUUGGGAUGCUGUUCCGUUUUUGCAAAAUAUUUAGGAGUUGUCAUGAAUCUGAUGGCUGAACAAUAUUUUCUGCAAGCCAAAUCCAUGAUUUUUUUUGACUGUUCAAGUGCAACUACAAGAACACAUUUAUCUGACGGCAAAAGUACACUAGCAAUUUGGGUUUCAUUUUCAGACAUCUACACGUACAUAACACAGGACACCAACACCAUUAUUCAUAGGCAUGCAAGACCAAAUACUCACUUCACAUCACAUAAACCGCAAUAAAUCUCAUGCAAAUAAGAAGUCAAGAGCACCAAAAUGAUACGAUAAAUUGCCCUGACAAAAACAUCCAGAGCGAAGUCACGGAGCACGAUUAACUAACACGAAGAGAAGCAAGUAAGCAACAGCUUCGCUGAACCAACUGAGCUCAAUUUCAGCUCCACACAAACGCUACGACGCCGAGAACCGCGGCAGCAACGGCAAGAGAUAAGAUCUCGCCGGCGGCCAUGGGACCCGUCGCUGCCCCGGCGUUGGUGGACGAGCCACCGUACUGGGCGGUGGCAGCCUCGAAAUGCCUGAUGACGCAGACGAUGAGCAGCACGAACACAAUGGCCGGCUUGGGAGAAGAGCGCUCCAUCUUGUCCUGCUUUCCCUUGCUUGUUCAGAGUUCAGACCUCAGAGCUGAGACGAUACACUGUCCAUUUCGCUCAAAAUGGCUGGAUUUAUAGACUUGCCUCAUUGAAUUUUCUAAGAAUAUUGACAUGGUAAACGUAGCACAAAUUGAAAAUACAAAUCUGUCUAUUUCUCUCGAUCGUGUUCUGCUCGCCACUCUGAGUUGGGUUGAUCUGGACGGCUGGGUUGGGUUUUUGCUGUAUACUCUGAAAAAUUCAACGAUCCAAUGAGGUGCUGUUCUUUGUUUUUAAUGCUAGUGUUCCCUCCAUAUUUGUCACUUCUAACUUCCACUGGACUUGAGUUAAGCUAUACAUGCAUCAAAUUUAAUAAAAUUUCCAUUUAGAUACCAAAACGGAUGAGCAGAUUGACAACGUCAGUUCUUGUGGACUGGUUCACGCUUCGUCGAGAAUAAUCAGAAAAAGAGUGCGUGUUUUGGACUUUUGGCUGCAUUGCAUCUAUCAAUGAGUUUAGAUGAUACCUAUGUUCUUCAACCGAUGCCAUCAGCUGCAGCAAUGUCGAUACGCGGAGCUGGUCGAUGAUUCCAAGGUCCGCAUGGAAAACAACAUGGAUCAUAUCAUGCAUUGCCUGCCAAAUGCCAUCCCGGAGGUAAGGUGAGAGGAGUUCUUGCUGCACUGGUGUGGCCGGCCUCAUGGAGCCAACGGCGCUGCCCGUACAUCUCGCGUGUGCUUAUGGAGGAAGACAUGGAUGACGACAUGUUCUUCUCCCUGUACCCCGACCACCCCGCGCUCCUUGAGGCGCAGCAGCCGUUCGCCCAGAUCCUGUCGUCCUCGUCGGCUCUCUCCUCUGGCAUCUCCAACCACGUCAGUGGCGGCAAAUCCUUCACCGGUGUUCUGGACAGUGCGCCAAUGGCGGAGAAGGCGAGGAAUUUCUCCGGUGAGGACAGCCUGGAGGGUUCUGCUGCCUUGAUGAUGAUGCAGGGGAGCGACAAUGGCAUGGGACGGAAGGGUAGUAGGCACGGCGAGGACGAGCAGGAAGUCGAGCUGGGCCGGGCGAGCAAACUGAUGGCGACGCCGGAUGAGGAUGACGACGAUGGCGUCGGCGAGAUGUUGGAGCGGAUGAUGCUCAACGGGGACGAGGCAUGCCACACAGAGAUGAAGGCGCCGAGCGUCCCAGAGAAGAAAAAGGCCGGCGGGAAGGCGGCGCGGCGGAGGCAGGCGAAGGCGGAGGUGGUGGACCUGCGCGAGCUGCUCUUGUCAUGCGCGCAGGCGGUGUCAUCGGGCAGCCGACGGAGAGCCGGCGAACUCCUGGAGCAGAUCAAGCGGCACUCUUCGCCGACAGGGGACGCCACCGAGCGGCUGGCACAUUACUUCGCCGACGGUCUGGAGGCGCGGCUGGCCGGGGCCGGAGCGGUGAGCCUGGAUCACCGGCAGCUUGCGGCCGCCGAGCGCGCCUCGACCAUGGAAUUGCUGGAGGCGUACCAGCUGUUCAUGGCGGCGUGCUGCUUCAAGUGGGUGGCGUUCGCGUUCGCCAACAAGACCAUCCUACGCGCGGCGGAAGGGAGGAGCAAGCUCCACAUUGUGGACUACGGCGCGCAGUAUCACGGCCUCCAGUGGCCACGCUUGCUGCAGUGGCUGGCGGAGAGGGAAGGCGGCCCGCCGGAGGUGAGGAUGACGCUCGUCGGCCAACCCCAGCCCGGGUUCCGUCCGAACCGACUGCUCGAGAGCACGGGACGCCGGCUCGGCAACUGCGCGCGCGCGUUCGGCCUCCCGUUCAAGUUCCGCGCCAUCGCCACAGCGAGGUGGGAGACGGUCACCGCCGAGGACAUCGUCGGCGCCGACCCCGACGAGGCGGAGGCGGUCGUCGUCAACGACGUGCUCAGCCUGGGCACCCUCAUGGACGAGAGCGGCGUGUUCGACGACCCGAGCCCGAGGGACAUGGUCCUCGGCAACAUCCGUGGCAUGCGCCCGGUGGUGUUCGUCCAGGCCGUGGUGAACGGCGCCCACGGCGCGCCCUUCUUCCCGACGAGGUUCCGCGAGGCGCUCUUCUUCUUCUCGUCGCUGUUCGACAUGCUGGACGCCACGACGCCCAAGGAGGGGAGGCACCUGCGGGUGGUGCUGGAGCGGGACGUGCUGCGGCGGGCGGCGGUGGGGGUGAUCGCGGGCGAGGGGGCAGAGCGGGUGGAGCGGCCGGAGACGUAAAGGCAGUGGCAGGCGAGGAACCAGCGAGCGGGGCUGAGGCAGGUGGAGAUGGAGAAGGAGGUGGUGGAGGCGGUGCGGCGGAGGGUGAGGAAGCGGCACCACGAGGAGUUCGUGAUCGAGGAGGAUCGUGGGUGGUUGCUGCAGGGGUGGAAGGGCCGCAUCCUCUACGCUCACUCCGCCUGGGCACCGGCCGAGGGUUGACAUUACAUUACAACAGUUCGACGCGAGUUUUAAGUGUCCUGGCAGACCAAAACGACUAGCUUAAUUCGGUGUCCUUGCAAUUAGCAUAAAUGAAUUUUGUGAUUUAUGCUUUAAUGAAUUCCUACCGCAGAUGUUUCCUCCAAGUGUUGAUUUCAUAAACAUUUGUGGGUAGAUACUACUAGUGAUCAGGCACGCCAUAGCAGUUCUCACCAAAAAUACCCGGACACAGACGACGAAAACUCAUAAAACUAGGUGCCCCCUCCACUUUUUCCGGGCUUGGGACCGGCACUGGCAGUGUUAGGCGCCCCCCUACCCGAAACAGAACACCCCCAGAUAUGAAACAUACGAAAGAAAAGGCAGGAAAUAUGCAUGCAACAAAAUCCAGUUAACCCGUAUUCACAAGGACCACAAAGCAACUACCGUAACGACUAGAUACUAGAAGUCUAUGGCAGAUGGGCUGCGGCAGAGUAUGGCAUGUAAACUAGCAAUGAAAAUGCAAGAAAAUGACUGGUCAUGCAAAUGCGAUUCAGGAAACAAACCAUCAAUUUAGCUAGUAUAGUUUGCCUACAAGCCAACACACUACAUUGUUUUCUUUUAGAGAAAGGACAGCCGAUAACAAUCAAUAUUAUACGUGUAAAUGAAUGUCAAUCAAAAUUAGACGUGUAAAUGAAUGUCAUGAUGAAUCUUCAACAUCCGAACUGAAAUUUGUUCACGUAAAUAUGUUCUCACAGAUCUAAAAUGCAAUUUCAUCUUCAAUAUUGUGUUCACAGGAUUUACAUGAAAUACAAAGUAAGCGUAAGCGCAUUUCUGAAGUAAUAACGCAGACGAUUCAACCAUUGGUAUAUAGAUUAAACAAAUCAAUAGAACAUGGAUUGAGGAUAGCUAAGUUAUUGACAACAACAAUUUUAGGCCAAGAAAAUCCCCCAAAAAACGUUAGCUUAUGUACAUAUACUGACAAAAGGUAGACCAACACAAAAGAAAAUAAAAACAAGUUAAACUUGCAAUAAUAUUUAAUUUACUUGCAGAUUCAACAUCCUGUUAAAAAUCGUAUCAAAGUUUCAGCGGAAAGAGAGACGUAUGCAUCCAAGACUAUGUUCACUUAGAACAUCUACAAGAGAAUAGUAAUAUUUUGCUAUCCAAAAGGUUCAUCUAAAAAAUAUUGCACAUAAAAAUUACACACUCCUCCAACAAAAAUCUAAAAAUGAAUAAAUGGUAUUAGAAACCCAUAUUUUUUGCCUAAAUUUAUGAUACAAUUAAGAUAAUUUUAGGCAUGAGUAAAUAUUAAAAAUGUAUUUGAUAACUUGUUGAAGAUAUAUUUUCUAAUCUAAUUUUUAAAAUUUAGUUUUUAUUAUCAAUUUUAGACAUCUUGAAGAUGCUCAUAAAACAACCGUAAAUGCUAGUAUCAAUUUUCGAGUAGAGCAAAGGAAGCUGCUAAACGUUGUGCAGAUUAAGAUAUAAAUUGUAUGCUAUCUACUAAUAGUAUCAUAAUUUAGCCAACUUCUUUCGAGAGAGGAACUAUUCAAAUUAAUUAAAACUACAAAAUAUGGCAACAUAAAAAUUUAACGUGGAGGAGAUUGCUAAUUUUUUUCUAAAGAAACAAAGAACACACAAAGUCUGAUGCAUAAAUAAAAUAAGGAACCAUAUGGCCGUUUAGCUAAACUACUAAGAGUUGGUAUUCUCCCACUACUAAAAAUUUCGCCUUAACAACAGAAUAAUCUGAUGGACGAUGUUGAGAAAUAUGUUAAUGAUUGCACUAGACCUAUCUUAUUUUCACAAGAGGAAAAUGAUGCCACAGAACAACCCUAAAUCAAAAAUAACAAACAAAGAACACAUCUAGCAAGAACAUUCAAGGGCCGCAUUAAAAUGACACGAAGUUGAACGAAAGAAAAAUUUACAAGUUAUGAUUUGAACUAAAUUGAUCUUUUCCAAAACAUGAAACUGACAUAACUACAUGAACUAAAUUUAUAAGCAUGCAUGUAUUCAACUAAAAAUAUCCUGAAAUCGUGUACUAUGACACAUUUUCAAUAAAAUAUUUUUUAAACUCCCAUUUAAGUGCACUCAUACGGGCAAAAAGACAUAUAUAGUUGCUCAGUGAGACAGUUAAAUAAUCUCUUCAGCAUUUGGACGAUUAGCAACAACGAAUAUACCCUAUGGUCCUAUAUAAGGUUCUAUCUUGUCAAAUCUCAAAGUGGGACACUAUGCUAAAUAAAGAACAUCGAAAAAAAAUAAUGCCACGUACCAAACAAAGUCUAUUAAAAAAGAGAGCUUGUAUAAAAAUGCAACCAUCAUCUGCCAAGGUAAGGCUACCACCACUAGCUUCAAGUAAUUUUAAUAGUAAGUAUUCUAGUUUGGCAAACAAGGGAGUAUCACAACCUUCUAAAGGAAGAUCACUCUACAGCCUUUUAAGUAACAAGUCAAUAUUAGAUUCAUUAUGCCAAUAAAUUUAACAAACGCAUUUUUCGAAGAAUGGAACCAUCUUAUCAUAGUCAAUUAAACAUAUGCAAAUGGUCAUUUUUGCUAAAUUCUAAACAUACCAACAAAUGGAACUUCAUACCAUAACAUGAAAAGAACGAUUGGCAGAAAGUUCAUGUAACAAAGGUUCUCACAAUUGAAAUCAGCUUCAAUAUUGUCUUCAUAGGAUAUACAUAAAUUACAAACUCAGCGCAAAGCAUUCAGAAUUUAGGCCAUCAAACACCAUGGUUAAUACUCCCAACGCAUACUAUUCAAGCAUUAGUGCAGACUACAAACCUUCAUAUGCAAAGCAAUAUAAUCUGGAUUGCGCAAAGCAAAGUUGUGAACACAGUAAAAUAAAUUUAGGAUUAGAUUUCCUAAAUAAGAAUAAGUUAUCCUUAUGAUUAUGUUUAAUAUCAAACCGCAGUGGAAUGGAUAAGUCCAAAAAAAUAGUAAUCCAUAUUCGUCAUCAUGUUAAAGCAACUAUGAAGACUGUUUACUAUCACGUAUAAUCAGAACUAUAGCGUAACAAAGGAAUCAAAUAAUAAAGAAAACCCAAGUCAGAAAUUAGAAAACCUGGUUAGGGAUCAUGUCAUAAUCAAGAAUCCAAGAUGACAUUUAAUGCAAACAUUUUAGGCGUACAUCACAUUGCUAAAAACAUUUUGAAUAGGCCGAUUAAAGACUCUAAUAUGUAUUUAGACAUGAACAGAAGAUUCAAAAUUCAGAGUAACAUUCAGGGGUCUGCAGUCUAAUAGGAGGUAAAUAAACGCAUAACCAAAAAGAAUGACACAUAAGUAUAAUUAAACAAAAUUCUUACAUGAGCUAAAGAAAAAAUGUCAAGUCAACAACUCUCUUCUCUAUAAGACACAAAAGGCAUCAAAGCUUUCAAUAGCAAUAAAAAAUUGUCAAUUACUAGUACUAGCUCAUCAAUGUCCAGAACACACAAGACAUCAUAUUUAUUGGAACUCAUAACUCAUGCAAAGCUACACAGACAGCAUUCUAUUCACAGAAUAGUUCAUUGCAUAUAAUGACAUCAAUCGAACAAUCAUAAAGCAUCCAUAGAACAUUGACAUUAUAUCUAGACUUUUGAACAAAAUGCAGAAGGAAAACCAACAAGUUGGGAAUUAAUAUUUAGCAAAAAAAAAAUUAAAUGUUAGGGGACAUGAUGUAUUUAGUAACACAACCAGUUUCAGACCAGAAAAUAAAAUAUUUUAUUAAGCUACAAAACCCAAGAAUUAACCAAAAAGAGAUUUAAAAACACCAGAUAAUGUAUGAAGAAAUUAAGGCUGUUUCGAAUUAAAAAACAAAUUGAAACAAUGCACACAAAGUUUAAUCCACAAGUAAAAAUGACAACAAAACAAACCUAUGGACACAAUUGAAACUACGAAAGAGUGCUACCCACCCAAGAACAUGCAAGGGUCACACUAGUAUGAAAAAGUUCCACACAUGCAGGUAUAUAUGAAACAAACAAAGAAAGACUACACAAAACAAGGUCCUAGUUGAACUAAUUUAUCUUCAAAACGUACAUUGUUCAUUAUAAAAUAAAUAAAACCAUGUAACUGUGACAUAUUUUCAAUAAACUGCAUAAUAUAAGGGCUUUCACCCAUUUAAGCACAUCCAUACAGGCAAAACAUAUUGUAUAUAUUAGUUGUUCGGUUAGUAUGGAACUAACUGCACAUCAGUCAAGCAAUCUCUUUGGCAAGCAACAAUGAAUGGGGAUACUAUGCUACUAAGGUUCCUUCUUGGUAAAUCAUAGUGGUGGGGGGGGGGGGGGCCCUAUGGUGAUAUAGGGAAAAAUGAUGAUAUAAGGAAUAAGAAAAGCAUGUACAAGAUAAGAUGAAAUAAAAAGAUUAUGAUGUCAGGGGAGAUAAUUAUACAUACCAAGUCAGCAGACAGAAUUUCCAGUGUACAUAACGAUAAUGUAUCAUAUACUUCAAAGUAUAUUGUGUCAAGUGAUUAGAAACAAAAUCCAAGAGAUUCACCUAAAUCCAAAAGCCUUCGACACAAGAUAUAAUUUAUAAUAAUUUCUAUCAAGCAUAAUAUUUUCAAAAAUCCACAUUUACAUCUUUUAUGCACCUAGGCAAACAAUGUGGAGACCCUGCAAGCUGAUCUAAAAAUUUACUGAAAAUAUCCUAGUUCCUGAAAUCAAGAGUAAACAAUGCCAUAGAGUUUUAAUUCUAUUGCCAUGUCAUGGUAAUACAAGUUAAAUCAAAUGCAGGAUUAUCAAAAGAAAUUACCAUAUUACAACAAUUUUACAGACUAAAUCAGGACAAGGACGUCUGUAUCAUUUUAUAUUUACAAUUUGCAACAUCUGAAGGAUGCUUAAUAAACACAUGGAUUACAAGACAAUACACCAGACAAACAGACAAAGGGCCAACCCUAUAUUGGAAUGAACCCACAAUCUAGCUAAUCAUGGAACAGUACAAAGCCUAGAUGUAAAGAUACUACUGGAGAAACAAAAAGGAUCAACCAAUUAGAAAUUAGUGCUACCGAGAACUCAGCUCCUCCAGAGUCCAUAAAUUUCUACCCAGAAGAACCGUCAAACAGAUAGCUUUAUAAUGUCACACUUUACAAUCAACAUCGACUUAUCUUCAGGGCAGGCAUGCAAAUUCAGGUCCAUAUAUUUUCUCGAAACAGAUCUUCGAAUUAAUUUGACCAAAAAUAGUAAGAUUCCAGAAUCAUCUUCACAGCUUUUUAUAUUGUUCAAAGGAAGUAACUGCCAAAGGAAUCCUCAACCACAGAAACUUUAGGGUGCCCCUUUUAGCUACUACAUAAUCACCUUCACAAUAACUGACUAAUAUAGCUUGCCGGAAGAAAACAAAUAAUCAAAAUCCUCUGAGAACUAUGACCAGGUCUAAAUGUUCCGGCAAAAAUGGAUUAACCAUAUUCACAAUAACUGACUAAUAUAGCUUGCCGGAAGAAAACAAAUAAUCAAAAUCCUCUGAGAACUAUGACCAUGUCUAAAUGUUCCGACAAAAAUGGAUUAACCAUACAAGUGUACUACCAGGAUUGGACUUGUAACUACAGAUUUCCAAGCAGACAAAUUGCCUCCAAAUAAGAUCAUCACUUUUUAGUUUUGAUCAGAAAAAAAUAGCACCAGUCUUGAAUGGAACGGAGAAACCAUCACCAAUGACUAAUCCUAAACAUGACCACCACAUGCUUAAAUUUCUCUGGUUUUAAUAUGCCAAAAAUGUUCAUAUUGUUCAUAUUACAGAUAAAGUGGUCGGACAUCGGUGGUAAUGGAAGCAAACCAACUGCACAUAUUGAAAAUUCCAUAAAUUGCAAUUAGUACAAGGUUCCUAACACAAACACCAUUAAACAGGAAAAUCACAGGAUCUGUACCUCAAACCGAGCAGGUAAGUAAUCUGUAGUUCAUGUACUAGCAUAAAAUUAAUCCGCAGGGAAGGCAGUCAAAAAGAGCUCCUUUAAUCCUCAUGAAUAAAAACUGAAGAACUAUAGCAACGCCCUCUUUAUCUCAUAAACUUUUAGCACAUAUGUUCCAAUUUUUAAAAAGCCAAAAAGCACUGCAUGGCCCUUUAGGUAACACCCAACCAUCCUCAAAUAAUCUGAAGUGGACGUCUUGACGGAAUCGAGCAAAUUAACAUCAUGGUGAUUUGAAAGGUCUGAACAAACCUAAGAAAACCAUCUCAAAUCCUGUUUACGUGUUCUGAUAGUACUUGACGUUAUCAUGAAAUAAACAGAUCUGAAUCAAAAAUUGCAUAAUUGCAAGCAGCCGAAAUGUCUUGAACUACCAAGCUUCAAAACUUGAAAGGAACAGAAUAAUCCUGUACUCUUUAGGCCAGUGACCAAUUUCAGAGCACAAACUUCUGUUUAUCUACCAUUGAACAUUCACAAGAUAUCUUAACCUACAUGAAAAAUCCAUCCCACCGAACAGAAAUUGGGGCAAAACAACUCGGCCGUGCAAUCUUAACAGAGUAUAUUGCCAAAGCAGAAAAUCACGAUUAGCCAUAAACAAAUCAAAACUAGGGUACCAUUCAGAAAACUAACGCAACAGCAGAGACAAAUCGCGGAAAAUAGACCCCCAAACCGAACGGAUCAAGCAGUCGCCACCCCCAAACCAAACGGAAUUGAACCGAUCGAGCAUCACCUGAUGAAUCAACGAAGGGCAGAGAACGAGGUGAGAUCGAAACCGAUAGCUCCCUUACCUACCAACUUACCAGCCCACCCGCGGCGGGAUAGACGAGGGAGGAACAAACCACGCGAGAAGAGAAGGAAGCCAUGGCAGAGAGGCAGGGGGUCGGGAUGCAUUUAUAGCGGAGAGCCUCCCAGGAGGAAAC
rnacentral:lncRNA from 1 species